GACUUCGUAGCUCAGCUGGUAGAGCGUUUGCCAUGUUUUGGCAUGUUGUUCCACUCGCCGGUUCGAUUCCAGCGGAAGUCC